GGGAGUCAACCGGCCGGAUGAGGGGCCUGUCUCGAAAACAGGUGGUGAGUCACACUCACUUGUGGGUUCGAGUCCCACGGCUUCCG
rnacentral:tRNA from 1 species